UCUCUGGAACCAGGGAGUUUAGAAGUAAUAGUUGAAGGUUCUGGAAGCUGGACCAUUGCCUCCCUGAUUAUUUCCCUUAGGCCUUUUUUAUAAGAAGACUUUUUUCUGUCUUCUGGCCUUAGAGGGUAAUUCAUCCUGCAGAAGUGCCAUUUGGAAAAUGCUGGUGGGUCAAAAUGUACUUCCUAUCAAUUGAAAAAAAUUAUUUUGAAACAAUUUCAAAUGUACAUAAAUGUUAUAAAAACAAUACACAGAAUUCUUAUAUGUCUUUAUGCACAUUCCCAAUUUGUUAACAUGUCCAAAUGAUUUAAGAUCAAGUGCAGAGAUGAUAUUCCAUGACUCCUGUAAUGCUGCUGUAAACAAGUUAUCACAAACUUUGUGGCUUCGAACAACACAUUUAUUGUCUUACAGGUCCAUAGUUCAGAAGUCUGACCCAAGUCUCACCGGGUUAAAAUUAAGGUGUUGGUAGGGUUGCAUUCCCGUCUGGAGGCUCAAGGGAAGAAUCUUUUUCUUUGCCUCUUGCAGCUUCUAGAGGUUACUCUGAGUUCCUUGGAUUGUGGCUUCUUUUCCCCAUCAGCAAUGUUGAGUGACAUUCUCCCUCCCACCACUUCGACCCAGUUUGUCACAUUUCUUCUCUGAUUCCCUCUUUCUACCAGCCUCUCUCACUUUUAAGGACCUUUGUGAUUAUUUGGGACCAUCCAGAUAAUCCAGGAUAGUCUCCUUGGGUUAAGGAGCUGUGUUGUUUUAUGUUCCAGCAGAGCACAAGGGUUCUAAUUUCUCUACCUCCUCCUCAAUAUUUGUUAUUAUUAUUAUUUUUUUAAAUAAUAGCCAUCCUAAUGGAUAUGAAGAAGUAUCUCAUUGUAGUUUUGAUUUGCACCUCUGUAAUCAUUAGUGAUGAUGAGCAUCUUUUUGUCAACUAACUGGCCAUUUGUAUAUCUUCCCUGGAGAAAUGCUUUUUACUUUGUUGAUGGUAUCAUUUGCAAUAUGGUUAAAUCACUUGCUUAAAUUCAUAUGUCGUAUAUCUCUAGCUUUUCUUUAACAUUCUACUGACAAUCAAAAAAGGGAAUAAAAUUAAUAUAUUUCAAA